rnacentral:rRNA from 1 species
UACGUGAGCCCCAAGCGUUAUCCGGAUUUAUUGGGCGUAACGCGUCUGUAGGUGGUUUGGUAAGUUUUUCGUCAAAUCUGGGGGCUUAACCCCUAGGCUGCGAAAAAAACUACUUAACUAGAGGGUGGAAGAGGUAGAUGGAAUUGCCGGUGUAGUGGUAAAAUGCGUUAAGAUCGGCAAGAACACCAAAUGCGAAGGCUUUCUACUGGAACACUCCUGACACUCAGAGACGAAAGCGUGGGUAGCGAAUGGG